rnacentral:lncRNA from 1 species
GAGUAGCAGUACAAAGUUCGCAACAACUUUUCGCGGAUCUGGCAUUUCAGCCCAGACCGGAAAUGAUUUGGGAACAACGCGCUCCAGAUCGGGGAGGCGGCGAAGGGAGGUCACUUUUAAAACCAGAUCCCCCUCCCUUUGCUCUCUUGCCUUCUCCUCCUCGGCAACAACAACAAUGGGGGAACGAAUCCCCAAUCCAAAGAAGAAAAAGAAAAAAAAAGGUCGCGACAGGCAUAUCAUAUACACAUGUAGGCGCACACGGACGGAGCGCCAGAUCUACGGCGAUGUCGGCGGGUCGCUCUCGUCGUCGUCUCCACGGCCUUAGGCGGAGGAGCGGGCGAGGCGGGAUGCGAUGGCGGAGUGGUACAUGGCGUCGUGGAAGGACUCCGUCUGCGCCAUCCGCGCGCGCAGCUCCCGGGCCUUCUCCUCCGUCAGGCCCCCCACGAACGCCCUCCCCGGGGUGGCCGCCGACGCCGCCUCCUUCGCCGCGGGGGCCGGAGCCUCGAUGUAGUCGGCCUUCCCGGACCACCCCAGCAGGGGCGCCCACCACUUGCCGCCGCCCUCCCCGCCACCCGCCGCGGCGCGGGCCACCCCGGCGCCCGCGCUGGCGGCGCGCGGCCGGGCGGAGGAUGCCCCCGCCGGGCGGGCGGGGAAGGAGACGGAGGCGGCGGUUGCGCACGGUGCCAUCGCCAUUUCGGAUCGGUCGGUCGGGCUGUUGCUUGCUUUGGAAUUUGGUGGGUGGGUGCGAGGUGAGGAUGCUGCUGAAGCCUGGGAAAGAAAGAUGAAUGCUGAUGGUGAUGGAGGU